GGAUUAGGCAUGCAAGUCGACCGAGGGAAUAUUCUUCGGAAUAUCAAUCGAGUGGCGAAAGGGUGAGUAAUGCAUAGAUGACAUACCUCUAGGAUAAGAAUAGCUUUGUGAAAACGGAGAUAAUGCUUAAUAAUUACGAAGUAAAAUCAAUUUUCUUCGUCAAAGGGGGGGCAGCAAUGCCUCUUGCCUAGAGAGUGGUUUAUGUCCUAUCAGCUAGUUGGUGGGGUAAUGGCCUACCAAGGCGAAGACGGGUAGCCGGCCUUAGAGGGUGGUCGGCCACACUGGGACUGAGACACUGCCCAGACUCCUACGGGAGGCUGCAGUCGAGAAUACUUUCGCAAUACCCGAAAGG
rnacentral:rRNA from 1 species